AUUGAACGCUGGCGGCAGGCCUAACACAUGCAAGUCGAACGGUAACAGGAGCAGCUUGCUGCUUUGCUGACGAGUGGCGGACGGGUGAGUAAUGUCUGGGAAACUGCCUGAUGGAGGGGGAUAACUACUGGAAACGGUAGCUAAUACCGCAUAACGUCGCAAGACCAAAGAGGGGGACCUUCGGGCCUCUUGCCAUCGGAUGUGCCCAGAUGGGAUUAGCUAGUAGGUGGGGUAACGGCUCACCUAGGCGACGAUCCCUAGCUGGUCUGAGAGGAUGACCAGCCACACUGGAACUGAGACACGGUCCAGACUCCUACGGGAGGCAGCAGUGGGGAAUAUUGCACAAUGGGCGCAAGCCUGAUGCAGCCAUGCCGCGUGUAUGAAGAAGGCCUUUCGGGUUGUAAAGUACUUUGCAGCGGGGAGGAAGGCGAUAAGGUUAAUAACCUUGUCGAUUGAUCGUUACCCGCAGAAGA
rnacentral:rRNA from 1 species